AGCCAUGGCCAGCCCAGCCUCCAGGGACCAGUUCCUGAAACAGUUUGAGAACAUAGUGGAGGGAAUCAAACAGAACAAGGCAAAGCUUGAAAAGCGUAAACAGGAAGAGAAGAUGAAGAGAGACCAGUUGAAUGAUCAGUAUUUAGACUUGGUGCAAAAACAGCGACUAUACUUCAAAACAGUCAAGGACUUUAAGGAGGAAUGUCGAAAGAAUGAAAUGCUGCUGAGUAAAUUAAGGAAGUGAUAAUGAGAUUAGAAGAAUACUACAGGAUCAAAAUGAACUGUUAAAUGUGUUGGUCAGCUUAAAACAAUUAAGAUUGAAUUCCAGCUAUAGACUGUAUAAAACUUGAUAUUGACUGAUUAUUACAAUAUUUAUUCUUGGUGAUAUAAAUGCUUAAUGUGCAAUUUUAUAGAACUUCAGUAAAAGGUACUGAAACACUACAAAA